rnacentral:ribozyme from 1 species
GCAGCAGCACACAUUCAACUCCCACUGCCACCCCGUCGCCAUCAUCCCCGCUAUCAGCAACACAACCAUCACCAUUAGCAGCAGCAGAAGAAGGAGGAGGAGGAGGAGGAAGAGGAAGA